AUUGAACGCUGGCGGCGUGCUUAACACAUGCAAGUCGAACGCGAAAGGGGAUUCGUCCCUGAGUAAGUGGCGCACGGGUGAGUAACGCGUGGAUAAUCUACCGAGAAGUUUGGAAUAACGGCUGGAAACGGUCGCUAAUACUGGAUACGCAGCCUAUUUAUCUAGGUUGGAAAGGAGGCCUCUGUAUAUGCUUCCGCUUUUCGAUGAGUCCGCGUCCCAUUAGCUAGUUGGCGGGGUAAAGGCCCACCAAGGCAACGAUGGGUAGCUGGUCUGAGAGGAUGACCAGCCACACUGGGACUGGAACACGGCCCAGACUCCUACGGGAGGCAGCAGUGGGGAAUAUUGCGCAAUGGGCGAAAGCCUGACGCAGCGACGCCGCGUGAGGGAUGAAGGUCUUCGGAUCGUAAACCUCUGUCAGAAGGGAAGAAGUGUAGUUGUGCUAAUCAGCAGCUAUUUGACGGUACCUUCAAAGGAAGCACCGGCUAACUCCGUGCCAGCAGCCGCCGUA
rnacentral:rRNA from 1 species